UCCCUGGUGGUCCAGUGGCUAAGACUCUGCACUGCCAAUGCAGCGGGCCCGGGGUUCAAUCCCUGGUCAGUGAG
rnacentral:tRNA from 1 species